rnacentral:pre_miRNA from 1 species
AGGAGGAACAACCGCAGUGGCCUGGCCAGGUCUGGAAACCUGGAUUCAGCUCCCACAGGAAUUCCGGAGCUCUCCAUCUGCAGGGCCUGGAGGCUCCGGGGCGGG